rnacentral:rRNA from 1 species
GACGAACGCUGGCGGCGUGCUUAACACAUGCAAGUCGAACGGAAAGGCCCUGCUUUUGUGGGGUGCUCGAGUGGCGAACGGGUGAGUAACACGUGAGUAACCUGCCCUUGCCUUUGGGAUAACUUCAGGAAACUGGGGCUAAUACCGGAUAGGAGCUCCUGCUGCAUGGUGGGGGUUGGAAAGUUUCGGCGGUUGGGGAUGGACUCGCGGCUUAUCAGCUUGUUGGUGGGGUAGUGGCUUACCAAGGCUUUGACGGGUAGCCGGCCUGAGAGGGUGACCGGCCACAUUGGGACUGAGAUACGGGCCAGAGCACUACGGGAGGCAGCAGUAGGGAAUAUAGCACAAUGGGCGGAAGCAGGAUGCAGCAAGGCCGCGUGCGGGAUGACGGCCUUCGGGUUGUAAACCGCUUUGGCCUGUGACGGAGCGUGAGUGACGGUAAUGGGUAAAGAAGCACCGGCUAACUACGUG